UAAUAUUUGCUUUAUCUCUAAUUGCUAGGCUGCAGUCCCAGUGAGUGGACUUGCAGGAAUGGAGAUUGUAUCCCUGAGUAUCAGCGUUGUGACAGAACACCUCAGUGCCUUGAUCGUUCAGAUGAAGAGAACUGCAGACCUGAACCUGGCUGCAGUCCUAGUGAGUGGACUUGCAGGAACGGAGACUGUAUCCCUGAGUAUCAGCGUUGUGA